GAUGAACGCUGGCGGCGUGCUUAACACAUGCAAGUCGAACGGGAAACCUUUUAUUGAAGCUUCGGCAGAUUUAGCUGGUUUCUAGUGGCGGACGGGUGAGUAACGCGUGGGUAACCUGCCUUAUACAGGGGGAUAACAACCAGAAAUGGUUGCUAAUACCGCAUAAGCGCACAGGACCGCAUGGUCCGGUGUGAAAAACUCCGGUGGUAUAAGAUGGACCCGCGUUGGAUUAGCUAGUUGGCAGGGUAACGGCCUACCAAGGCGACGAUCCAUAGCCGGCGUGAGAGGGUGAACGGCCACAUUGGGACUGAGACACGGCCCAGACUCCUACGGGAGGCAGCAGUGGGGAAUAUUGCACAAUGGGGGAAACCCUGAUGCAGCGACGCCGCGUGAAGGAAGAAGUAUCUCGGUAUGUAAACUUCUAUCAGCAGGGAAGAUAGUGACGGUACCUGACUAAGAAGCCCCGGCUAACUACGUG
rnacentral:rRNA from 1 species